rnacentral:tRNA from 1 species
GGAUGUAGCUUAGUUGGUGGAGUGCUUGUCUCACAUGCACAAAGCCCUGGGUUCAAUCCCCAGCACCA